rnacentral:rRNA from 1 species
UACGUAGGGACCAAGCGUUGUUCGGAUUUACUGGGCGUAAAGGGCUCGUAGGCGGCCAACUAAGUCGGACGUGAAAUCCCUCAGCUUAACUGGGGAACUGCGUCCGAUACUGGAUGGCUUGGAUUUGGGAGAGGGAUGCGGAAUUCCAGGUGUAGCGGUGAAAUGCGUAGAUAUCUGGAGGAACACCGGUGGCGAAGGCGGCAUCCUGGACCAAUAUUGACGCUGAGGAGCGAAAGCUAGGGGAGCAAACGGG